UACAGAGGGUGCGAGCGUUAAUCGGAGUUACUGGGCGUAAAGGGCGCGUAGGCGGUUGAUUAAGUGUGGUGUGAAAUCCCUGGGCUUAACCUAGGAACUGCAUUCGAUACUGCCGUGCUUGAGGACUGGAGAGGAGACUGGAAUUUACGGUGUAGCGGUGAAAUGCGUAGAUAUCGGGAAGAACACCCGUGGCGAAGGCGGUUCUCUGGGACGGUACUGACGCUGAGACGCGAAAGCGUGGGGAGCGAACAGG
rnacentral:rRNA from 1 species